GCCACCUUCUUCUUGAUAAAGAAGAACCCUGCACCAGCAGGCGAUGAAGAGGGACGGAUGAGACCGGCGUUUGGAGAAUCGUGAAUCUACUAGUCCAUAGCCUCUCUUUCUGGACCAGACAGGGAAAAAAGAUGACUCUUGGGCGUAGAACUGCCUGGGAGGAGGUCAAUGGCGCAGUCCUUCUUCUAGGCCCAAUGGAGCAGUCUCAGACUCAUAUUCUGACUGGAACACGGCGGAGCAGUCGGACCCUCUGGCUUCCACGGCGGGGAGGACCCGUCGGAAGGCCACGGCGGUGAGGACCCUCUGGGACUGCAACAGGCUGGGCAGACGUAACGUGAACAGUCUUUGGCUGGGCAGGCAGGAUUUGUACAGUCUCUGGCUGGGCAGGCGUGAUAUGAACAGUCUCAGCGUGGCUGACGUGCACCAGCGGUGAAGGCUCAGCUGGCCCAGACGGAACCAGUGGUGAAGAGGGACUUGAGCUGGACUGGACCAGCAGUGAAGAAAGCUUUGAACACACGGUCUCUGGCUGGACAGUCCCUAGGCUGGACGAGACCAGCGGUGAGGACGUCUCGGCGGGGUUGGAUGGAACCAGCGGUUCUCCAGUCCAGACCAGAGAUUUGUGGGAGACAAUGGAUAUUGAAAUUAAUGAGGCACCGUGGACGCACAGCCUGUCAGGAGCGAUCACCAGCUGCCUGACUGCGUCCCCAACCCCUGCCCCGAGAGAAGAGAGAACAACAACACAGGGAGAAAAACUAUGUUUUUUAGCCAGAUAUAUUAGCAUAAGACCUGUGUUUUAUUCACAAACUUCUCAACUUGAACCUUUCCAUGUAAUAAAUGAAUGAAAGCGUUUUGUUUCAUAGUGCCCACACAAUGUCAUGGCAGCUUUAUCAAUGGCUUGAGCGGUUUGCCUCAAAACUAUUGCUUUCUCGACGGAGAGCUCAGCUGGAGAGCUCAAACAUGGACUGCUCAAAAAUCUGUAGUUACAUGAGAGCUAUGGGACCGAGCGUGAGCAAAAUCUAGUGAAAAGAUGUUAACGAGUGCACUAAGAGGACGCAAAAUGAAACUAAUGAAAACGUCUCCAUUAAUUUGAGCACGUAGUCAUUUAAUGCAAUACUUUAAAAGCCUUUUUCAAGCCAUUGAAUUUUUUAUAAUAAUAUAUUC